ACACCUUACGUUAAGGGCGUGAGAUAUGCCUCUCGCCUGGAACUAUUCUGCAACAAUGCCGUCCGCUCUAAGAUGGAUAUAACUAUAGAGACUAGGGUCAAACCCACGCUAUCUUCAAUGCAGGUUGAAGUUUAAUGUAGAAAACAUCUUAAUUGGAGUUUGCUGUGGCUACCACGAUAAUCUACACUUGUAUUAUGUGCCUAUUCACAAAAAAGUGAAUAUAAAAAGAUAAAGAUUAUCCCUGAUGAUCGCUUCUUGGGCAUCCUUGGCCUAAAAGACGAACCAAACAUUUUUCUCCCACAAUGGAUGAACAAACGACACUGCUUGAUGAUUUUAAAAAAUGUGAAGCACCCCACUGCCUUGGCAAUGACGAGCUUUUCAACAUAAUUGGACCACUUAUACGAGAUAAAAUGACGGCAAAGAAAUGUCGGCAGUACAUAUCAGAUUAUGAAGAAAAACAUUUUUUCUAUUUUUCACUGUUCAAGCCCUUAUUUAAAAAAGUUGGGCAAAGUUGGAUUGAAAAUGCAAAACAGGACAUUAAAAACAUAAGUAAAAAUGGAGUUGCACCAUCAUUGCGAGAAUUGUAUGCAAUAAGCGAGAUCAUCUCCAGAAAUGUUAUUGUUUUACAUAAAUGCAAGGAUGGAAAAAUCAGGGGUGUGCAAAUUGAGCCUAUGAUUCGCGAGACGGAAGAUGACAGAAGCAUGCCAUUGAUUUUGUUAUUGACAUUGGAGGAAGAAAUUAUCCAUGUCAUAAAAAGUGACAAGAAAAUCGAUCAUUUAAACAAAGAUGGUUUUAUAAUAAACGUCAGGCAUGCCCGCUGUGUUGACAAAAGGUUUCGCAACAAUUUUGACGACUUACAAAAUUUUUUAUUUGACGCAGAAGAGAUAAACGGUUGCGCCACAAAUUAUCCACAAGAAGUCAUGGAAACUUUUUCCGGUGAAGUUACGAAUUUAUUUCUCCUCAUCGGAAAACUAAUUUAUGGAUCAGAAGAAAAUGAAAAAGAUGUUCAAUGUUUAUUAAAAAAUCAUAUGGAAGUUCAGGAAUUUCGUUCAGUUUACAUGCAACACGUCAAUGUUGAGGAAAAUGUUGCAACUGAAAAUAAAAGCAAUCAAGAAAGCACAUUGAAAAAACGAAUUGAAGAAGAAUUUAAACAGCAUUUAACUGGCUGGAAAACAGCAGAGAUUGUGGAUUUCUUCGCUAUCGCAAGCGUUUUCAAUUUACAAGUUUAUGUAGUCUUCCCGAAUGGAAAUAAAAAACCAAAUUUGUAUCUUCCAAUAUGUGGAAGCUAUUUAUAUACAUUCAAAUCGCCCCUGAUUUUUCAAAACAGGGAAAACGGACAAUUGUUUAAAGUCAACAUUGAAGAUUUAGAAUGCCCCUGCUUUCAGAAAACUCCAGAAAUAGUUGGACAAUUCCCUGUUUAUAACAACGAUUUUGACAUUGACAGAGUUAACAAGCUUGAUUUAAAACCUUGUUGUCCCCCUGAAAGAAGACACGGACGUCAUCAGCAUUAUCAACGUAUAUUAAAAAUCGAUACCCGUCUGUAUGAAAGGGAUGAUGAACAAUGGCUUGGAACACUAGACGAGGACGCCAUACUUAUAAAUGAAAUGUUAGCAGAAGAGGGACGACAGUUAGACAUGAUACAGGGUGGUAAGGGAACACUAGCACAAUGUCUGGGUAAAGAAAUUUACGGAAACGAGGAUACUGAAUUGCAAAUCAGAGAAAGAUGGAAAGAAAUAUGUUGAUAGAGUAUCAUCAAAGAGUGGAUGCAAUUGUAUGCUGACACCGCCCAACAUAAAUUGCGUAAAAGUUCCAACUGAACUAGAGCGGAUUGACAAAGGAAAUCGACAUAGACCACUGUUAACGUUUUUCCCGACGAAACCACCUGAAGACUGGUUUAGUGACGACGUACGUAGAGAAGAAACCAUAAUUCCAAUUUAUUCCGAGCUUCGUCUCGUAUUGGACAGAAGCGAUAUGGCGGAUCGGUUAAUUGACAUAGUGUCCGAUUACACACAUUCUUUAUACCGAUGCAUUAGCAAAGAUAUUUUUGGCAAUGAAAACCAGUAUCAAGAAAUAAUGAAGGAAGUUAUGACAGAGAUUGAAGAAAACCCAAGAGAAUAUGGCCAGCUCCUUAAGGCAGAAAAAGAACAUGCUGAUACUGAGUUUUUAAAAAAUUUCAAAUACCGAGACAAUCAGUUUUUAGAUAUUUUAAGAUCUCAGACAAAAAUUCUUGAAAAGUGUGCCAAAUUUUUCACUGAGAGAAUUGAAGAUGGAAUGGCUUUGGGAGAUUUGGAGCUCAUUGCAGCAGCAACGUGCUUUCAAGUACCAAUAUACGUACUAAGUGCUAGCGUUCAUGAAGACAAGACGAAAACAGAAUGGAAGCUAUUCACUCAAAUAAGAAGACGAAAACAGCCCCAUGACUUCUUGCAACGACGGCAAUAUUUAGCUGGCGAAAACGCCGUUUUCAAAUGCUUGGCUGAUGACGAAAAAGUUUCUAAAUUUCAUAUUACUCUUUUUAGAACCUUUUCAGGACAGUUUCACAGAAUUGCACCAAUUAGAAAGGUGUGCAACUGUUUAAUGGAACCACCAGUUGUCUUUUUACCAAUGACGCAUACACAUUCUGAAGACCAAGACUUUAGACUGUUUUACGAAACAAACCGCUUCAAAACUAAGCUUAAUAUGGCAAAACUUGCGUUGGAUAACUGGAUGAGAUGUAACGCAGCUUUCGAGAUACUUUGCACCGAAAUAGUUGACGAGUUAGAAGGACGAAGACGAAAUGUUAACAUUUCAACGAUAGUGGGGUCUUCUGUAGGAAUCGCGGGAUCAGCUCUUGCCAUUGCAGGAGUUAUUGCAGCCCCUUUUACAGCGGGGGUGUCCUUAGGCUUGACAGUCUCCGGGGCGGUAAUUGGUUCUCUAAGUGGAGCAAGUGUUGUCGGAGCCAAAAUAACAGAAACUGUGUUGAAUAAAGAUGCGAAUGAAAAAUUUGAACGGUAUUAUAUGAAUUUACAGGAACACACCAGAGUACUAAUACGGUCAUUAAAAGAUCUUGAAGCUGAAAUGGACAACAUAAAAAAACAAAAUACAGUUGAUGUAGGAGCAUUACAAACUGCGGCUAGAGCAUUGUGUGCGAUCGGGGGUGUUCCAUUUAUUGUCGUACGUAUCGUCGUUAGAGCGGUGUCUUUCGCAGAUAUGGUACUUCCUCCAUUAUCCGCUGUUCUUGAUUUAGGUGUACUUGGUUACAGCAUCUACAACCUCGUAAAAGGGUCCAAAACAAACGUCACAGAGAAAGUACGGUCUUUGCGAUCCAUUCUCAGAGCCACAAGAACACAGUUAAGCAUAUGGGCAUACGGAAAUCAGAAAAAAUUCUUACAAGCUAUGGAUUAUGGGAAAUGACUAACAACAAUAGCUCAAACAGUACAUUGUGCACAAAACGUAUAAGUGUUUCUGUGUGGGUUUUUUUAUCAUUAAACGGAAAU
rnacentral:misc_RNA from 1 species